ensembl:miRNA Gm44365 predicted gene, 44365
AGUGAUGUGUGUGCAUAGCACUUGUGCGGUGCAGAAGGUCUAGGCUGGCCAUGAGCAUCUAAGUUCCUCACCAGCUCCCAGGUGAUGUUGAGGUGCUGGUCCAUUAACCACACUUUGAGUAGCCA